AGCCCGGUGGUGUAGUGGUCAAAGGAACGAUCUAACGCCGAUCAAGCAUAGCAGGCUCUGGAUCCCUUGUGGAAGAGAAACCUGUAGACAGGAGUUCGAAUCUCCUCCGGGCUA
rnacentral:tRNA from 1 species